rnacentral:lncRNA from 1 species
UUAGAACUCAAACUUCUUUAAAGUUUAAUCAUCAUUUACUGUCUACUUACAUCAUACAAACACAAAGGUAUUCAGUUCAGACAGACAGAGACCUAAGAAGCCAACAGGACAAGAGCAAGAGCAAGAGGCUCUCUUGUUUAAGGUUCCUUUCUUCUUAUAGAACACUUCUUUUGAUCUAACUCUGGUUUUUGCUUUUGCCAUCUCUGGUUAGCACGCAAAGGUAUAUUCGAGUACGAUUAUUUGUUAAUGAUGUUGUCUAACAAUUACCAAGUGGCCUCGCCCAUUUUUGGAAAUUUGAGAGAUUUUGAAUUUGACUCUUAUGUAUUGAUUUGAAUAAUAAAAUAGCUAG